rnacentral:lncRNA from 1 species
GUUGGUUGGCUUCAACCUGAACCUCGAUCUCUGCCUCUUUCAGUUGCUUUUGAUUCGAAUGUGAGAGAGUGUUAUCCGGGUCUAACCGAUAGACCAAUUCCGGCAAGAAAGUUUUGAACUUCCUCUUCACCCAGAUUUCAAACGCAUCAUCAAAGGUAAUUUUCGCCUCUUUCUUGCUCUGUUGGUGUUCCUAUCAUCACUUUGCCUCGAUAUCAUUUCACCAUUAUAUACUGUUUCUGUUUCCAAUUGAUGAAGCAUACUGCAUUUUGUAGUCAACUAUGUUAGAAGCCUAGUUUAGCCAAAACCUUGAGAACCCAGAAAGUUUAGGGGAUAUGAUUCUAGGUAAGAAGCUCUUAGCUUUAGUAUGGUCUGCACACAGAAAUUUCAGCACAAAAGUUAGUUACAAAAGCAAGAAAUGGCCUCAGGAUAGAUAUAAGACCAGAGACAAACCCAAGAAGGGAGAAGUUGAGAACACAAAAACCAAAAUUCAAUGGACUGAUGAACAGAAACAAAUCAUAUCUGCCAUUUCUGAGGGAAAGUCUGUGUUCAUUACCGGUUCGGCGGGCACUGGAAAAACAAUUUUGGUUCAGCAUGUUAUCAAAUUGUUAAAAAGGCAGCAUAGAGCCUCUAAGGUUUUUGUCACAGCGCCUACUGGUGUUGCGGCUUGUGCAAUUGGGGGGCAGACUCUUCAUUGUUUCGCGGGGAUUGGGUAUCCCAUGGCUGAUAGGGAGACUUUGCUGCAUAGGAUUGUCCUAAAUAACAAGGCUUACAACAGGUGGUUGAAAGUUAAGGCAUUGGUUAUCGAUGAGAUUAGCAUGGUGGAUACUGAGUUUUUCGAGAGUCUUGAAUACAUUGCCAGAAAUAUACGACAAGUCAAUAAAAGUUGGGGUGGGAUUCAGAUUGUUGUGGGUGGGGAUUUCUUUCAGUUACCUCCCAUUAAACCCCAGCAGAAUUCAGGGGGAAGAGAAUUUGCUUUUGAAGCCGAUUGUUGGAAUUCUAGCUUUGACCUGCAGGUAAGUCUUACCAAAGUGUUUCGCCAAUCAGAUCCUCGGCUUAUCAAGUUACUUAAUGGGAUAAGAAGAGGAGAGAGUGACCCUGAAGACUUGAUGUUUCUUGAACAAUCUUGCUCAGAGGCUGAACCAGAUCCUUCUGUGGUACAACUCUAUCCAAGGAUUGAAGAUGUGAAUAGAGUGAAUGCAAGUAGAUUGGUAAGCUUGGGCAAUGAAUUUGUUAUCUAUACAGCUAUUGAUAGUGGUGAGGAGUCUAGGAAAUCACAGCUUGAACAGGGAAUAGCCCCCAAGGAAGUUACAUUGUGCAAAGAUGCGAGGGUGAUGCUGGUCAAGAAUUUGAAUACUUGGCGUGGCCUGGUGAAUGGUGCUACUGGUACGGUUCAGGGAUUUUAUGUGCCCAAAAAUAAGGAUAUAGCUGGCGUAUGCCAUGCUCUACCAAUAGUCAAGUUUGAUUCAGGGCCAGAAAUGUUGAUUGAACCAGAAACAUGGGCUGUGACAGAGGGAGAUAAAGUUGUUGCUGAACGAAAGCAGGUGCCUCUCAUAUUAGCAUGGGCUUCAAGCAUUCACAAGUGCCAAGGCAUGACUCUUGACUGCCUUCACACUGAUCUCUCUAAAGCUUUCGAGAAUGGAAUGGUUUAUGUAGCUCUUUCCCGUGUGAGAAGCUUGGAAGGCCUGUAUUUAUCUGGUUUCAAUCGCUGGAAGAUUAUGGUUCACCCUAAAGUUUUGCUGUUCUAUAAAAGUUUUAGUGGUGAAGUGGCUCAGGAGGAAAAUGAUGACAAUGAUAGCCAGGGACAAGAUAGCAUGAGCCGCAUUGGUAAUGGCAGCCAGGAAGAUGAUGGCAGCAAAUACAUGCUGGUUCACAUAAAAUGAACAAGGAGGAACAAAUACCUUUUCUCUUUUCCUGAUUUCUUGACAUUCACAUCAGAAAAUGAUUGAAGUCUGAACGAUAGUUACCAUUUCUCUCUUCCUGGUUUUCUGUUCACACCAGAAAAAUAUUGAAAUCGGAGAGAUAGUUUGCAGUGCAAGAGUAGUGAUAUAUAUCUUUUUCUUUGAAUAGGGCUAAUUGGCUGAGAUCCUUUAACAGACCGUUUGAUUAAGAAUGUUCCGGGUCUCGUUUAACUUGUUAUUGGUAGAACAGAAUCAACAGAUGACUUUUUCACAUUUCUGACUUUCUUUUUUUUUUUUGCUUAAAUUUAAGUAUGUACAUCAUUCCUGCACUCCAAUACAUCUGCCUACCAUAUUUGUUUAAUGCUUGUCCCUAAAAUGUCACCAUCUUAUUGGUUCUAUACAGGGAGAAUACAAAUGUAUUACCUAAUUUUUGUUCACCAUCCUAUGUCAAAGAGCAUAUGACAGCAAAUGAUACCCCAGCGAGAUGAAGUUUGUAGUUUGAACACCUCUAUAGUGGUAAGGUACAGUUUUCUUCACUUGCAGAUGUCUUCAAGCGCUCAGCUGCUUUUUCAACCUACAAAAGCAUGAUGAAAAUCAUGUUUUCAUUAUAUACUCAUAAUCUCAGAUAGGUGACAAACUUGUCAUAAAUUGAACUUUAGGGUACCUGAGCAUUCCAAUUUGUUCUGGCCGUGAGGACAACUAGAGCUACUGUUUGUAAGAAAACUCCAAUAAUCAUCCCCCACCAAAGACCCUGAAAAAUAUAUUGCAUCAUGUUCUAGCAUUCACAAUCACAAAGCAAUAACUUGACCAAGGAGAAAGGUGAGAAAUUCAACUUACUGCCACCCCCAUUCUAAGUUUAAAGCCAAGAACACACCCAAUUGGAAGACCAAUGAAAUAGUAACAAAACAAGUUAACAUAAGCCACAACUCCUUGCCAUCCACUUCCAAUUGCCACACCUGAAGUUAAAAUUGAUACCAUUAAGAGUUUUCAAACCUGGUUUAUUUAUAGCUCUUUAAGAUAAAUGAAUACCUGAGAGUAUAGGUUGAAUUCCAUUUAAAAAAAUAGAGAUGGCGAGCAAUGGAGUUAAAUCAGACACUGCCUUGAUAACCUCUGCAUCGCUUGCAAAUAGCUUGCUUAACUGAACUCGGAGGAAUAGUACAAUCACACUGAAGAUCACACUAAUCAGGACGCUGGUUACAUUCACCACAAACACUGAGAAUCUGGCCACCUUUGGAUGACCGGCUCCGAGUUCAUUACCGACUCGAACACUGCAUGAGGCAAGUUUUAAUCAUCCGAAAAAUUUCCCAAUCUUGUUUGCCAAGGAAUAAUUGAUAACUCUUAAGAUUAGUCACAAACCUGGCAGCUGCACCUAGGCCUAACAUAAAUGUUAUAUCCCAGUUCAAGUAAUUCAUGCUGCAGUUGUAUCACAUAAGCACAGGUAAAGUUAGAAAACAAUUUCGGAUAUUUAGGUUGAAUAGAUUGCUCAAACAAAAGGCAUACCAAAUAGAAAUGGAGUCUAGGGAGAUUGUAGGGUUGGGGAGGAGCCCUGACAGAAGCACUAGCCCUUGGCUGUACCAUAUCUCCAAACUACAUCAACGCAUGAUUGUAUCAGCUCAUAGGUUAUUUGAAAGAAACAAAGGGGAGUAGAAGUAAGGGGUUAAGAUUUUAGACCUACCAAAGCAUGAAAGCAGAGGCAACAGUAAACUUAAAAUACGGCCAAACUCCCCUGAAGGCUUUGCUAGAGAAGCCAGUCCAAGUCUCCUUGCACCUGGGGCUCAGAACAAUGUAAACCCCAGAUGCAAUCACAAGCAACCACCAAGAAAAGCUGAGACUAAGAGCAGCUCCCAAUAGCCCAAAUUUCACAACAUCAACCACCAACCAAGUGAGGAGAGUGUGAAGAAGCAAAAUUCCGAUAGACAUGAAUGCUAAAGGUUUUACUAUGUUCUGUGCUUGAAGGAACCUUUGUUGGGGACAGUUUAUGGCAAAUGCAUAGAGUUGAAGGAUUAAACCCCUGGAAAAUAUUUGACCCUUCUCUGCUAUUAUAUGUGAUUGUCCAAUAGCUAUAAGCAUUGGUCCUGACCACCAAUACAGAGAUGUAAGGAGGACUGCUGCUCCCAAAUGCAAGAUGAUUGCUCUUUGGCAUAUGAUCCCCAUUGCUCCCAAGUGUUUGGCUCCAUAUGCUUGUCCACACACUGUUUGCACAGCACUUGCCAUCCCCAACUUCAAAUUCAAAGCAAGAAAUCAAGAGUGCUUAGACUAUAACAUGUCAAGAAUUUUAGGCAUUGAAAUCAUCAGGUACAUUUGGGGUACAUACCAUGAUGCCAUAAGCAAGGCCUUGAAUUCCCACGCAAGCAAUGGAGGCUCCGGCAAGCUCCAAAGGACUCAAAUGGCCACAAAACAUGAGAGUGACAAAGCUGAGCAUAUAGUUGGCUAUAGAUAUAAUGAUUGAUGAAGUUGAUAAACUCCAUAGGAUCCCCGACUCCCAUGCCACAAGCCUAGGCAACCAUUUGAAUGCCACUUCUUUUUGCUCGAGAAACUUUUCAACUGCUGCGGAUGAUGACAAGUCAGGACUCGUAAUCUCUUUCUGGCUCUCCAUAGUCUCUGAGGUUGAGGCUUGAAUAUAUACGUUUAUCUGAAUCUGAAAAUCUUAACGCCUUCUUCUUCUCAUCAGCCUCUCUCUUUCUGUGUUUUGGUUGGUAUAAGGUUUUGAAUUAUGUUGCUACAAAGGAUAGCUAUAGUCUAGACUAUAGCUGGAUUCCCUAAAAUGGCUAGGAAAAGAAAGGAAAGUAUUGAUUACAAUAGAUUUUGAAAUAUCACACUAAUGUUCAGCAAAAAGUAAUGAAAUCACUUCCUAAGCGGAGACUUCAUGGAUAUUUACUUCUACAUGUUAGGAUAUUAAGUACUAAUUGUAUCCAAUUAGUAGUAAGAGUGUUUAGCUGUUAGUUAAUUAGCUAGCUUAAGCUCAUAAUGAGCUGUA